GUUCCUGCAUGCUCCACCGAACCCGCGAAAGCCCGUUUCCGUUGCUGCUGCGCUUGCAAGUAACCCCGUUGUUGGUGCUCUUCCGUUGUUGUGGUUGUUUGAGGAAGAUGGAGAUUGGUUUGAGGAUCCAGAGUCAGGCAGUUUUGUUGGUUUGGGGUUUGCAGGUUUUAACAGAGGAUAGAGGUUUGGGUUAGUGAAAGGUGGAGAGUGGAGGCGUGCCAUUCAAUAUUUUGAGUUCCAUGCC
rnacentral:lncRNA from 1 species